ACAAAAUGUUAUAUUACUGGAGCAACUCUCCAAAAGGGACUUUUUCUCCCACUGCUCUACAGAGUGGCCACCAGUCCGAGCACCAGCUGAAGUUGUUUUCCUGUCUCUGAUGGUCAGAACAGUCAUAAUUAGUGACGCUUCUGGCAACGUUGCAUUAAAAGAAAAAGGGAAAACCUAAAGGAUCAAUACGGCAAGCCUUCAAUGGAUUUCUUCAUCUGCGCCGUUCAUUAAGGAGCCCGCGAGAGAGAAAAACAAGCAGCGCAAGAGUGUUGCAGGGACGGGGUGAGGAUGAUGGAGAACGCCCGCGAAUGAGAAGAGAGAUGAAAAGAGCGACCGAUAAACAGAGAGUGCAGAGCAGGUUUCCACAGAUAUGGAUGGUUAGAGGGUCGAUCGUUACCCCAGACACCGUGAGCCUGCCUGCCUGCCUCUGCUGCCUGAUUGCCCGGGACACAUUUGCAUUAGAGCUGAGAGGAGCCGAGCAGAAGAGCACAGCCGGGGAAGUCUUUGAUCUCUCAGCCUCUGUCUCUUUGAUGCACCAUGUGGAAACACAGCAGCAGAUUUGGGGGGGAACCAGGAGAUGAUGUUGGGUGUUAAGUGGAAGUGGUAGAAGUGCGCGCGUGUGUAAGUGCCUGUGCACGUGUGUGAUGAUGUACAUCGCGGGAAAUGACUGCGCAAAUCUGCCAGGACUCUGAUUGCAGUCCAAAUGAGCACACACGCACACACACACACGCAUGGCAGCACGGGUUGCCCUGCUUUGUUAAAGUCAAGUGCAUUCAAGCAGGAGGGAAUGAAAAAAGCCCCUCCACCCUCCACCCCACCCCAGCCCGCCGCUUCACUCUUCAGGAUUAUCAAACAUCGCGGCAGCUCCGACAACCACAACUGUCAAGCAACAGAUUUACAUCCAAACCAAUCACCCCUCGUGCGCUUUUUUCCCUCUGAAAAUGUCAUUUCACAUUCCAGUCCCGGGUUAAAAUUCGAGGCAGCGCGCCGAGAUUAUCUGCGGAUUUCGACUCCGUGCGUGUAUCCGCGGCACCCUCUGCCCACUCGCCCACAUCCCCUCCGGUCCGCGCCUCCUCGCCUCUCCUCCGUCCUCCCUUGCACUCCACACCUCUCCUCUCCCGUCCCCCUUCCCGUCCUCUCACCUCGCUAUCGUCUCUCCUCUCGCCCAGCCUGUCAGGAUGAUUUCAGGCUUGUCUGGCCUGACUUAGCGUGAGUCGCCUGAGGCUGGAACAAGAGACACUGUGGCGCUACAUGAAAGGUGGUAUCAUCCUGAAGGGAACAUGAAUUAAAGCCACAUGUGGUUAAAAGUUUCACACUGAAACUGCAUGGUGACAGCAGGACACUGACACUUAGCUGACUCGAUGGGUUGACAUCAUGGAAACCAGAAACCUGAUUGGAUGAAUCAGUCAUAAUAUGACAUGGCCUGCAUUGCCUGAGGCCUGAGGACCUCCAGCGUGACCACUAAAGGAUGCGGCGUGUCACCUGACAGCCCUCCGAGGUGAAAUGCCUACUCAACACUUGGCUCUGACACAGCAGAAUGAUGUCGGCCUUCAAUCGAAUAUCAAGGUUGCCCUGAUAUGAAAGCAAUUUGAUAUAGCCAGAAAGGAGAAUGAGGAAAUGAGAUUGAUGUUGUGGGGAGAAUGAGUAGGUGGUCUAAUGCGAAAAAAAGGAAGUCAGUCGAGGUAGAAAAGCUGCAUAGUUGGUGUUUUAUGCUGAAAUGGCACUCGGGCUUUGACACGAUAUCAGAGAGAGCUUUUUUUGUGAAGAGAGCUUUUUUCCUCAGUGAGACCGGACCCGUCAGUGAGCAGUAGAGAAGGGGAGGUGAGAGGGCUGUCCAGCCGCAGGAACAACUGGGCGAGCAGGAACUACUGUUCAAAGACACACAACACAUAAAAUGCAUUUUUGCCGCAAAGCA